AAUAAUAAAAAAAAACUCGUGUCCCCUUCCACUCCUCUUCCGUGCGUUUCGCAUUGGUCGCCGUCCCACUCCCACCCGGCGUAAGAUCGCGCCGCCGCCGCCUCUUCACCCCCCUCGCCGCACGUCCUCGAGGUGCGGGGCGUGACCGGAACAAGCCGCGGCGCGCCUUUGCCAAUCCGAACGGCAAGUGAGGCCUCGGUUCAGGAUGCCACCUCCGGCACCGGGAUCCAACGGCGACCCCGUUGCCGAGCGCUGGGCCUCACUGCCCGAGGAUCUGAUCCGCCUCGUCUCGUGGCGCGUGCUCGCCGGUGACCUGCUGGACUACAUCCGCUUCCGAUCCGUCUGUGGCAGCUGGCGGUCCGCCACUGCCUCCCCUCGUGGUACCGGCGUCGUCGAUCCGCGCUUCCACCCGCGCCGCUGGAUGAUGCUUCCCGAGGGCCACGGCCUUCAUCCCGGCCACCCUCACCUGCGCGGGUACAUCCGAUUCCUCAACCUCGACACGGGGAAAUUGGUCCGCGCCCACCUCCCUCUCUUCAGCGAUCACCGCGUCGUUGAUUCGGUCGACGGCCUCCUCGUCCUGCUACGGGACCAGGACAGCGCCGUACGCCUCGUCCACCCUUUCACUGGCGACAUAGCUGAGCUCCCACCACUGGCGACCGUCCUCUCGCAGCUAGGCAUACUGCUGGAUAGCGUACCCGCGCCACACAGGAUCAAAAGGCUCGCGGAGUCAAUCUGUGCUUCUGUUUCCUUCAGCAAUGGGGCCAUGAUCGUUAUGCUUGCACUUCAUGAGGUAUACCAUAUAGCCUUUGCUACCACCCUGGACCAGCAAUGGACUCUGUCAAGCUGGAAUUACCAACUUGGAUCUCCAGCACCUGUGUCAUUCCAAGGCAAGCUGUACUUGGCCUGUUAUGUCUUAUUCUGCGGUGUUAUCGAGAUUUUCCAGAUUGAUCCACCUGUGAAGGACGAGGUGGGCUCAGGUUGUGUGCUACACCCCCCGAAAUUGAUUGCCACAGUCCCUGAUGGUAACCUCAUUAUGACUGUUCAUCUGGUAGAAUGUGACUCGGAGAUCCUGGUCCUUGGCUACAAAGAUAUGACCAGGUCUCAGAUUGCAGUUUUCAAGCUCACUGACCUUAUCAUGCAAAGGUGUAUCCCAAUUACAAGCAUCGGAGGCAAUACCUUGUUCAUUACAGAAAGGGGCAUCAGUGUCGCCCCUAGUGCAUUGCCUACCCAUAUGGAAGACAAUGUUGUCUGUCUUGAACCAGAAGAAGACAACCUUGUGCAAUACCACCUCAUUAGUAGUACCUGGUCACCGGCAUCUGAUGAUUGCAGCCUUUUUGGUCCUGCACCAGGUCCUUGUAGCCUAAUCCACCUUAUCUACAGUUGUUGCAUUCGCAAUCGAUGGAACAGAGGGCUAGUCUUCGGAAGAGAGUAGGCUGAUGCAACCGCUGAUAACAAGGGUGGGCAUUCGCCCAUAUCUCGAAUGUCUCCUUGGAAAAAUGCUAGAGGGUAUUGAUGCUAGUGUCACUCAUGGAUGGAAAAUAUUUCAGAUUUUUGCAAUAGCUAGGCAGAUUCUUUGUCUAGGCAAGGGUAAAGAAGGAAAUACUGUAAUUUAGAAGGAAUCAACAAGGUUGGAGGAUUAUCACAAGAUCUAGUCAAGCAAGUCUGGCUGCCAUGAUGCGGAACGGAAUAAGCCUUGCCAGGUUGUUGAAUCCCUCCAAAUCGAGUGAAGGCGUGUGUGGGAUUUGAACCAGUUGUGUGUUAAUUUGGGUCUAAAUAGAUCUAUAAUGUGAUAAUAUUGAAUCCUAGUUAAGAGAAAUCACACAGUGCCAGAGUUGUUGCCCACUUGAGCCGUUGUGGAAGUCUGCAGGUGUCAAACAAGACGAAUCAAUCUAUGUACAUCAAAGAUGCCAUGCCAUAUUUUAUUUUUAUUUUUUUUGGGUGUAAAUUUAAGUUUAAACUGAAUACUAUGUUGCUACCAGCCUGGGCCCAGGGGUGAUAAAUGGCUGUCGACUGAAAUGAAAUGGUUAAACUCGUUUGCUCA